rnacentral:rRNA from 1 species
AGCUUGCUGGGCGGAUUAGUGGCGAACGGGUGAGUAAUACGUGAGUAACCUGCCCUUGACUCUGGGAUAAGCCUGGGAAACUGGGUCUAAUACUGGAUACUACCUCUUACCGCAUGGUGGGUGGUGGAAAGGGUUUUACUGGUUUUGGAUGGGCUCACGGCCUAUCAGCUUGUUGGUGGGGUAAUGGCUCACCAAGGCGACGACGGGUAGCCGGCCUGAGAGGGUGACCGGCCACACUGGGACUGAGACACGGCCCAGACUCCUACGGGAGGCAGCAGUGGGGAAUAUUGCACAAUGGGCGGAAGCCUGAUGCAGCGACCCCGCGUGAGGGAUGACGGCCUUCGGGUUGUAAACCUCUUUCAGUAGGGAAGAAGCGAGAGUGACGGUACCUGCAAAAGAAGCGCCGGCUAACUACGUGCCAGCAGCCGCGGUAAUACGUAGGGCGCAAGCGUUGUCCGGAAUUAUUGGGCGUAAAGAGCUCGUAGGCGGUUUGUCGCGUCUGCUGUGAAAGCCCGGGGCUCAACCCCGGGUCUGCAGUGGGUACGGGCAGACUAGAGUGCAGUAGGGGAGACUGGAAUUCCUGGUGUAGCGGUGAAAUGCGCAGAUAUCAGGAGGAACACCGAUGGCGAAGGCAGGUCUCUGGGCUGUUACUGACGCUGAGGAGCGAAAGCAUGGGGAGCGAACAGGAUUAGAUACCCUGGUAGUCCAUGCCGUAAACGUUGGGCACUAGGUGUGGGGGACAUUCCACGUUUUCCGCGCCGUAGCUAACGCAUUAAGUGCCCCGCCUGGGGAGUACGGCCGCAAGGCUAAAACUCAAAGGAAUUGACGGGGGCCCGCACAAGCGGCGGAGCAUGCGGAUUAAUUCGAUGCAACGCGAAGAACCUUACCAAGGCUUGACAUUCACCGGACCGCCCCAGAGAUGGGGUUUCCCUUCGGGGCUGGUGGACAGGUGGUGCAUGGUUGUCGUCAGCUCGUGUCGUGAGAUGUUGGGUUAAGUCCCGCAACGAGCGCAACCCUCGUUCUAUGUUGCCAGCACGUGAUGGUGGGGACUCAUAGGAGACUGCCGGGGUCAACUCGGAGGAAGGUGGGGAUGACGUCAAAUCAUCAUGCCCCUUAUGUCUUGGGCUUCACGCAUGCUACAAUGGCCGGUACAAAGGGUUGCGAUACUGUGAGGUGGAGCUAAUCCCAAAAAGCCGGUCUCAGUUCGGAUUGAGGUCUGCAACUCGACCUCAUGAAGUCGGAGUCGCUAGUAAUCGCAGAUCAGCAACGCUGCGGUGAAUACGUUCCCGGGCCUUGUACACACCGCCCGUCAAGUCACGAAAGUUGGUAACACCCGAAGCCGGUGGCCUAACCC